rnacentral:lncRNA from 1 species
UUCGACGCUUAAGUCAGAAAAUACUGCUCCUUGUGUAUUCUUAUAGUAAUUAAAAAUAAGAUGAUUUUACCUGAACAUUAAUAUUGUAUUUAUUGGCGUCAUAAUUGUCCAUCCCAUUAAUUAUAUUAAUUAUUCAUUAAUAAUUAUAAUUGUGCAAUAUAAUAUGUCAAUCACCCAUAAAUACUAUAUAUCUGCCUUUGAUAUGGUCAUUAAAAAUAUUAACUGGCCAUCAAUGACAUCCAUCUUACCUGACUCGCGAUCACUAGAUUACCGGUCGGUGCGAAUGACACUCCCCUCGAACGAUUGACUACCCG